rnacentral:rRNA from 1 species
GACAGAGGGUGCAAACGUUGUUCGGAAUUACUGGGCGUAAAGCGCGUGUAGGCGGCUAAGUAAGUCGGGCGUGAAAUCCCACGGCUCAACCGUGGAAGUGCACUCGAAACUGCAUAGCUAGAGUCCUGGAGAGGAAGGUGGAAUGCUUGGUGUAGAGGUGAAAUUCGUAGAUAUCAAGCGGAACACCGGUGGCGAAGGCGGCCUUCUGGACAGUGACUGACGCUGAUGCGCGAAAGCCAGGGGAGCAAACGGG